rnacentral:rRNA from 1 species
UACGUAGGGUGCGAGCGUUGUCCGGAAUUAUUGGGCGUAAAAAGCUCGUAGGCGGUCUGUCGCGUCGAUCGUGAAAACUUGGGGCUUAACCCUGAGCUUGCGGUCGAUACGGGCAUGACUGGAGUUCGGCAGGGGAGACUGGAAUUCCUGGUGUAGCGGUGAAAUGCGCAGAUAUCAGGAGGAACACCGGUGGCGAAGGCGGGUCUCUGGGCCGAUACUGACGCUGAGGAGCGAAAGCGUGGGGAGCGAACAGG